CCAGCCCAGCCCUGACCCUGCAGCUCUGAGAGAGGAGCCUUAGCCCUGGGGUUCCAAGGCAUUUCCACCUGCUGAUCAGCACUGAACACAGAGGACUCAGCAUGGAGUGGGGGCUGAGCUGGGUUUUCCUUGUUGCAAUUUUAGAAGGUGUCCAGUGUGAGGUGCAGCUGGUGGAGUCUGGGGGAGGCUUGGUCCAGCCUGGGGGGUCCCUGAGACUCUCCUGUGCGGCCUCUGGAUUCACCUUCAGCAGCUAUGCCAUGAGCUGGGUCCGCCAGGCUCCGGGGAAGGGGCUGGAGUGGGUCGCAUUCAUUAGUUAUAAUGGGGGUAGCACAAGCUACGCAGACUCCGUGAAGGGCCGAUUCACCAUCUCCAGAGACAACGCCAAGAACUCGCUGUAUCUGCAGAUGAGCAGCCUGAGAGCCGAGGACACGGCCGUGUAUUACUGUGCGAGUGACACAGUGAGGGGAGGCCCGUGUGAGCCCGGACACACACCUCCUGCGGGGGCGCGCGGGGCCACCAGGGGCGCCCGGACGCUGUGCACGGGGCUGUCCCGGGGCAGGUGCAGGUGCAGCUGCUGCUAA